rnacentral:rRNA from 1 species
CGUCGAGUGGCGAACGGGUGAGUAAUACUUAGGAAUCUGCCCAAUAGUGGGGGGACAACCCGGGGAAACCCGGGCUAAUACCGCAUACGCUCUACGGAGGAAAGCAGGGGAUCUUCGGACCUUGCGCUAUUGGAUGAGCCUAAGUCGGAUUAGCUUGUUGGUGGGGUAAAGGCCUACCAAGGCGACGAUCCGUAGCUGGUCUGAGAGGACGAUCAGCCACACUGGGACUGAGACACGGCCCAG